GAUGAACGCUGGCGGCGUGCCUAAUACAUGCAAGUCGAGCGAGAUGUUAGCGCAUGAACCUUCGGGGGAUUAUGCUAACGGACAGCGGCGGACGGGUGAGUAACGCGUAGGCAACCUGCCCCUGACAGAGGGAUAGCCAUUGGAAACGAUGAUUAAAACCUCAUGACACCGUAGAAGCACAUGCUUCAUCGGUCAAAGAUUUAUCGGUCAGGGAUGGGCCUGCGUCUGAUUAACUAGUUGGUGAGGUAACGGCUCACCAAGGUGACGAUCAGUAGCCGACCUGAGAGGGUGAUCGGCCACAUUGGAACUGAGACACGGUCCAAACUCUACGGAGGCAGCAGUAGGGAAUCUUGCACAAUGGGCGAAAGCCUGAUGCAGCAACGCCGCGUGAAGGAUGAAGGCCUUCGGGUU
rnacentral:rRNA from 1 species